rnacentral:rRNA from 1 species
GACGAACGCUGGCGGCGUGCCUAAUACAUGCAAGUCGAACGAGAGCGACCGGUGCUUGCACUGGUCAAUCUAGUGGCGAACGGGUGAGUAACACGUGGGUAACCUGCCCGUCAGAGGGGGAUAACAUUCGGAAACGGAUGCUAAAACCGCAUAGGUCUUCGAACCGCAUGGUUUGAAGAGGAAAAGAGGCGCAAGCUUCUGCUGAUGGAUGGACCCGCGGUGCAUUAGCUAGUUGGUGAGGUAACGGCUCACCAAGGCCGUGAUGCAUAGCCGACCUGAGAGGGUGAUCGGCCACAUUGGGACUGAGACACGGCCCAAACUCCUACGGGAGGCAGCAGUAGGGAAUCUUCCGCAAUGGACGCAAGUCUGACGGAGCAACGCCGCGUGAGUGAAGAAGGUUUUCGGAUCGUAAAACUCUGUUGUUAGAGAAGAACAAGUGCUAGAGUAACUGUUAGCGCCUUGACGGUAUCUAACCAGAAAGCCACGGCUAACUACGUG